UGGCUUCAGCAGCACAUAUACUAAAAUUGGAACAAUACAGAGAAGCUUACAUGGCCCCUGCACAAGAAUGAAACCAGAAACAAUUUUAAAUCAAAGAUAAAUAUUU